rnacentral:rRNA from 1 species
CCUACGGGAGGCAGCAGUGGGGAAUUUUGGACAAUGGGCGCAAGCCUGAUCCAGCAAUGCCGCGUGAGUGAAGAAGGCCUUCGGGUUGUAAAGCUCUUUUGUCAGGGAAGAAACGGUCUACUCUAAUACAGUGGGCUAAUGACGGUACCUGAAGAAUAAGCACCGGCUAACUACGUGCCAGCAGCCGCGGUAAUACGUAGGGUGCAAGCGUUAAUCGGAAUUACUGGGCGUAAAGCGUGCGCAGGCGGUUAUAUAAGUCAGAUGUGAAAUCCCCGGGCUCAACCUGGGAACUGCAUUUGAGACUGUAUGGCUAGAGUGUGUCAGAGGGGGGUAGAAUUCCACGUGUAGCAGUGAAAUGCGUAGAUAUGUGGAGGAAUACCGAUGGCGAAGGCAGCCCCCUGGGAUAACACUGACGCUCAUGCACGAAAGCGUGGGGAGCAAACAGGAUUAGAUACCCUGGUAGUCCACGCCCUAAACGAUGUCUACUAGUUGUCGGGACUUAAUUGUCUUGGUAACGCAGCUAACGCGUGAAGUGACCGCCUGGGGGNGGUACGGUCGCGAGAGUUAAAACGUUAAAAGGUAAAGUUAGUACGGCGUGAGACGUAGACCGAACGGACGACGACGAGGGAGGGUUAGGG